UCCCUGGCAGUCCAGAGGUUAGGACUCCCUGCUUCUAAUGCAAGGGGCCCAGGUUUGAUCCCUGGGCAGGGAA
rnacentral:tRNA from 1 species